rnacentral:rRNA from 1 species
UACGUAGGGUGCGAGCGUUGUCCGGAAUUAUUGGGCGUAAAGAGCUCGUAGGCGGUUUGUCGCGUCGACUGAGAAAACCUACAGCUUAACUGUGGGCUUGCAGUCGAUACGGGCAGACUUGAGUUCGGUAGGGGAGACUGGAAUUCCUGGUGUAGCGGUGAAAUGCGUAGAUAUCUGGAGGAACACCGGUGGCGAAAGCGCGAGACUGGGCCGUAACUGACGCUGAGGAACGAAAGCCAGGGGAGCGAAAGGG